rnacentral:misc_RNA from 1 species
GUAGGUGAACCUGCGGAAGGAUCAUUAUCACGUUAUCCACGUAUAAACCAUUGUGAACCGUACCUAACCUCUGUGUUUUUUUCUGAGGGCGGAUCGGAGAGUUGUUUAUUCAGCUUUUCGUUCCAAACUUGGGAGGAAAUCAGAGCGUAUUACCCUUUCUAUUAACCAUUUUAACCAAAACUUUAACCUUUUAAACUAAUUUUUAUUUUAUACUCUUCGGAGAUAAAAUUCAUUACGAAACAAAGAACAACUCUUAGCAACGGAUAUCUUGGUUCUC